UACGAACCGUGCAAACGUUGUUCGGAAUCACUGGGCUUAAAGGGCGCGUAGGCGGGCAAGCAAGUCCGGGGUGAAAUCCUUCGGCUCAACCGGAGAAGUGCCUUGGAUACUGCUUGUCUGGAGGGAGGUAGGGGCAUGUGGAACUUCUGGUGGAGCGGUGAAAUGCGUUGAUAUCAGAAGGAACACCGGUGGCGAAAGCGGCUUACUGGGUCUCUUCUGACGCUGAGAAACGAAAGCUAGGGGAGCGAAGGGG
rnacentral:rRNA from 1 species